rnacentral:lncRNA from 1 species
GGCGUAUAGGCUUCUUGGUUCAAAAUGUUACUACUGGGCAAUGCAACUACCUGCUGGUGUAAAUAUGGGAAAAUAAUAAAUGAAAAGAAGAAAUCACUAGUAUAAAGCACUGACACUCUUAUAAAAAAAUUAGUGCAACUUCUUGCAUUGGUUAUUCUAAUACGGUAGCUUUAUUCUUUUCAGUUUGUCCAUGUUGCACACAGAAAGCAAGGACCCAUU